AAGAAACAAAGCACACGUGAUAAACAAUUUGGGCAACCUCUCCCUUGACGCCCACUGUUCCAGAAUUUCUCCUCCCAAAUCAUACAAAGAUCUGAACCAUGAAGAAGAAGCCAAAAUCCCUCCUCUGCACCCAUUAACCAAAGCGCUCAAACCUGUCACUUUCUCAAAACCUCUUCUCCCAAUUUUUUCCCAAAUCGUGAUUACCAACACAGAGGUUCCAGGCUGGAAUACAAGAGUUGUGAGAUUUUGUUGAAUUCAAAGUUGGAUCCUUUAUUGCGGGAGAAAAGCAGACAAACAGAGGUUUUAAGCAUCAAGUAUGAAAGAGUUCAAAUAAAUGAUGUUGGAGAGUCGAUCAAAUUGAAGGUAUUUUUGAAGGCAUUAGAGUGCAAAAUCAAUAUCAAUUAUGUUACUGGAGAAGAUUUCUAAUUAUUACAUGUUCAUGCAAAGUAGUGAGUUACAAGAAAAUGUAAGGAGACUAUUCUUACAAAUGUUAAAAGGGGCAUUAUCCUCGAUGAAAUUUAAUUCAAGAGGUUGAAGUUGGAUUUUGAGCUUAUAACUUGCUAACCGAAGACUAGAUCAUGAUACUAUCAAACAAUAAUGACUAUAGGCAAGAUAUAUAGAGUAGGAGCAGCUUGCAUAUUUGUUAUAUAUAGAUGCAUCUUUCAAUAUAAUAGAGUUUUCUUGGUUAAUCGAUGUUAGGAAGAAUCUCAAUGCUAGCCAAUGGCAAUCUAUCAUAAUCCAUUUACUU